AGGAAGGAGAGGGGGUGGAGGAGAGGAAUGGGAGAGGGAUGGGAGAGAGAGGAGAAGGAUGGGCGAGACAGGAGAGAGGAGGAUAUUCUGUUGGGCCGUAAAAGGAUGGUUGACCUGAGCUCCCCAUGAACAUCAGUCUCAAAUCUUUUUCUCUCUGUCUCUGUCCUUUGCUCUCUCUCUGUCUCUGUCCUUUGCUCUCUCUCUGUCUCUGUCCUUUGCUCUCUCUCUGUCUCUCACUAUUUCUCUCUCUCUCCCUCUCUCUCUCACACACACACACACUACUGAAAAAUGAAUGGGGAGGCAUGUGAGCGAGAGGGUAGAUGUACGGCGUGUCACAGUCACAAAGGCUUAACAGAGCGCCUGGCAUCACGCUGCAGAACCAUUGGGUGAUUACAUUCAGAAUCCAGUCAGCACUGUCGUCUCUCUGUGUGUCAGUGUAUGUCAAGUGGAAUCACUCUGUGUGUGUGUAACAGAGAAACAGACCAGACCAACAGACAUAGGAGCAGUCCAGACCAACAGACAUAGGAGCAGACCAGACCAACAGACAUAGGAACAGUCCAGACCAACAGACAUAGGAACAGUCCAGACCAACAGACAGAGGAACAGACCAGACCAACAGACAUAGGAACAGACCAGACCAACAGACAUAGGAACAGUCCAGACCAACAGAGAGAGGAACAGUCCAGACCAACAGACAGAGGAACAGACCAGACCAACAGACAGAGGAACAGUCCAGACCAACAGACAGAGAAACAGACCAGACCAACAGACAGAGGAACAGACCAGACCAACAGACAUAGGAACAGUCCAGACCAACAGAGAGAGGAACAGUCCAGACCAACAGACAGAGGAACAGACCAGACCAACAGACAUAGGAACAGACCAGACCAACAGACAGAGGAACAGACCAGACCAACAGACAUAGGAACAGACCAGACCAACAGACAGAGGAACAGACCAGACCAACAGACAGAGGAACAGACCAGACAAACAGACAGAGGAACAGACCAGACCAACAGACAUAGGAACAGACCAGACCAACAGACAGAGGAACAGACCAGACCAACAGACAGAGGAACAGACCAGACCAACAGACAGAGAAGCAGAAGAACCCCAGACCAUGCUGCUGAGUGACUGUGUGCACCGGAGUGUGUCUAUUGGUGUGUGUCUGUGUGUGUAUCUGUGUGUGUAUUGGUGUGUAUCUGUGUGUGUAUUGAUGUGUAUCUGUGUGUGUAUUGAUGUGUAUCUGUGUGUUUAUUGAUGUGUAUCUGUGUGUGUAUUGGUGUGUAUCUGUGUGUGUAUUGGUGUGUAUCUGUGUGUGUAUUGGUGUGUAUCUGUGUGUGUAUUGAUGUGUAUCUGUGUGUGUAUUGAUGUGUGUAUCGGUGUGUGUAUUGGUGUGUAUCGGUGUGUAUCUGUGUGUGUAUCUGUCUGUGUGUAUAUCUGUGUGUGUAUUGGUUUGUUACUGUGUGUGUAUUGGUGUGUCUUUUUGUGUCAGAUGACAGUGGUAUGGUGCUCAGGAAGAGCUGGCCGUGGAGUUGGUCGUUAAUGCUGUCUCUCCUCUCUCUGUCUACUCACGUCUAACCACCUCUCUUCCUCUUUCUAUCCCCCUCUCUCUCUUUGAAACUUUCUCCCUCCUUUCUCCCUAGGUGUUGUCAUGAAGUUGCCUUCUUUGGGUACAGCGAGUACCAUCCCCCUCUCUCUGUCUCCUACAACUAGGCUGCUGUGGUCAGAGAGGUCAUAAAUUCCUGGAGGAGAUGAUCUCCUCAUGGCCACAGUGAAUUUUCAUAGAGAACAAAGGAAUUUCUUCCACCUCACAGAACUUGAGGUCCGAACAACAUUUAUGUUCCGGAGAAGGUAUAAAAGAUCGGUGAAGAAUCCAGCUACAAACUGGUCCGUUUGGUGCAAUUUGGGGAAGCUCAUGGGAGACGGUGUGGCCACAUUACCAUAACUCUGUUUAUAUAAUAGCCUCAGAUAUGAGGUUUACAUCUAAUUGUUGUAUAAGAUGAAUGAGUGAGGAUGAUACUGUUUGUGUAAUGUGAUUUUGGACUUUUUAAUGAAGGAAACUCCAAUUCCCCUUUGAGUUUAACUAAAUCAGAGGACCGCCCAUGAACCCAGACCAGCUUACCUCGAUAACAAGAGGGCCAAGGUUUGAGAUGAUUGCUGAAUCUUUUAACCAUCCCACGUGGUUAAACUCUUAGACUAUGGAUACCGACAGAAUAAGAACAAGUCUUUGAUAUUAAUUACUAGUCUGCAGCUAGGAAUUCGGUAUCAUUGAACUCGAAGAACGACAACCGCCGAAACAUCUAUAUCGAAAUGAAUGAAUGUCACUCUGAACUAUUCAUUCUAACCACGACAGAGAGACAGAGAGAGAGAGAGAGAGAGGACGAAAACUCUUCAACAGAAACAAACUUUUCAGCAGAGAUCCCGACGACACACUGAGCGUAAAAAUAUAUAUUAAUUGCAACUGUUCCCGAAUGAGUGAGCAUUUUGGGGCAAAUGAUUAGCAUUUCAAUUGUUAUAAUUAUCAACUAUCUUAUCUCAGUCGACCCCCACUUCCCUGUUGUACACCAAGCCGCCAUGCCGGUUUAGCCCACUAGAGCACAUUCCCCUAUCAUUUCUUGUAACCAUAUUUACUUUGUUUGUUUGUGUGUGCACUUCUGUGAUUGUUUAGUUAGUUAAUAAAUAAAUGAUUUAAGACAA